UACAUACCAUUGUGAACAAAGGUGGUAAAUACUUUGCUGCUUCAAAUUAUCCAUUUAUCUCUAAAUCAUAUACAAGGGUGUUUAUCUUUAAAACAAAACACUAGAGAGAUUAACUAUGUUACUAUUUCAUCUAUCAUUAUUAUACAAAGUAUAACAAAUGUAAAGAUUUUUCCACAAAUUUUACCUGUUAACAUUUUUAGCACAACAGCACCUGAUGUCAUUGAGAUGUCUAUCACUGAGAUGUUACAAAGAUUCCAUUACCGCAAAAGGAGGCGUUCUUGAGAAUCCACUUCGAUUGCUGUAUCAACAUAACAUUUACUAUAAUGGGAACCAUGUCACUUAAGACAAUGUCUUGGAAAUGCUGUCAAUUAAUUGAUUCCGUAAAAGAAUAUCGGAGAGUAUCCAAUCUAUACACAUCAUAAACGGUG